rnacentral:rRNA from 1 species
UAGAGUUUGAUCCUGGCUCAGAUUGAACGCUGGCGGCAGGCCUAACACAUGCAAGUCGAGCGGCAGCGGGAAAGUAGCUUGCUACUUUUGCCGGCGAGCGGCGGACGGGUGAGUAAUGCCUGGGGAUCUGCCCGGUCGAGGGGGAUAACUACUGGAAACGGUAGCUAAUACCGCAUACGCCCUACGGGGGAAAGCAGGGGACCUUCGGGCCUUGCGCGAUUGGAUGAACCCAGGUGGGAUUAGCUAGUUGGUGAGGUAGUGGCUCACCAAGGCGACGAUCCCUAGCUGGUCUGAGAGGAUGAUCACCCACACUGGAACUGGGACCACGGUCCAGACUCCUAUGGGAGGCAGCAGUGGGGGAAUAUUGCACAAUGGGGGAAACCCUGAUGCACUCAUGCCGUGUGUUUGAAGAAGGCCUUCGGGUUGAAAGCCCUUUCAGCGAGGAGGAAAGGUUGGUAGCUAAUAACUGCCAGCUGUGAUGUUACUCGCAGAAGAAGCACCGGCUAACUCCGUGCCAGCAGCCGCGGUAAUACGGAGGGUGCAAGCGUUAAUCGGAAUUACUGGGCGUAAAGCGCACGCAGGCGGUUGGAUAAGUUAGAUGUGAAAGCCCCGGGCUCAACCUGGGAAUUGCAUUUAAAACUGUCCGGCUAGAGUCUUGUAGAGGGGGGUAGAAUUCCAGGUGUAGCGGUGAAAUGCGUAGAGAUCUGGAGGAAUACCGGUGGCGAAGGCGGCCCCCUGGACAAAGACUGACGCUCAGGUGCGAAAGCGUGGGGAGCAAACAGGACUAGAUACCCUGGUAGUCCACGCCGUAAAC